ensembl:lncRNA
ACAGAUAAUCGUUUCUUCAAACUGAUGACAAAAGAAGCACUCGGAUUACUUGUGUCACAUAGAAUUUAGGAUUGAUAGUAUGCACAUUGGGAAGCAGGCUGAGAUCUGACAAACGCCACUUCCUCAAUGACAUCAUCCUCUAGGAAGUGACAUCAUAUUGGAGGCGCCAUACGCAGAUUGAGGCAGUACAACAAACUACCACUAGAGGGCAGAACAUGAUGGAUGUUGUGUCUAAACAUAGCACUUGCUGUGAUAUUUUAUCAUAUAAUGCAGUGGCAUUCACAUAUUGAACAAAAGUUUGGCCUCUGGCUCCUGCAGGGCCCCCAAGCGAGCACUUUUUUGGGGUUCACAGUGCGGUGACCUCUGAGGAGAUGCAGUAACGUCCUGAACUCUUCAGCAUCAAAGAGAUCUGCGGGGGGCGGAGCUGAUACAGAACGCAUCACAAUGCCGGUCCACCUACACUCUCCCGCUCCUGUUCCUCACUUUCCUCAAGUAUGCGAAUAUGAAUGACUUCAGUCCUCUCCCUGUGACCUCUCUAUCACAUCACCUCUGGUACUUUAAUCCUUUUAGCUGAUGAUCACAGAUUUGAUUAAACUUUUUGUUUGUUUAAAUGGAUGGUUCACCUAAAAAUGUUCUGACAGUUUACUCACCCGCAGGCCACCCGAGAUGUAGAUAAGUUUGUUUCUUAAUGGGAAGAUUUGAAGAAAUCAGUCCAAACAGCUGAUAAAAACAUCACAGUAAUCCAGCCCAUCAGUUAACAUCUUGUGAAGUAAAAAUCUAUAUUUCUGCAAAAAACAAAUCCAUCAAGUUUUUUUUUUUUUUUUCUUCGAACCAUUGCGUCUGGCCAAAAUACGAGUCCAUAUAAUUCAUAAUAAUGCUUCCUCCUGUGAAAAAGUCCAUCUCCUGUUGUCCUCUCACAUCAAAAUCCACCGACAUAACUGUUUUGGACUGUUUUCUCUUGUAAACAGUGCUUGAUAUGUGCUGAUUUCUCUCCUGAUUCAGAUGAGAUGCCUUUUCACUGGAGAAAGCAAUAUUAUGGAUAGAGGACUCAUAUUUUAGUCACAAGAUGUUAACUGAUGGACUGGAGUGGUGUGGAUUACUUGUGGAUUAUUGUUUUGUUUUUAUCAGCUGUUUGGACUCUCAUUCUGACGGCACCCAUUCACGGCAGAGGAUCCUUUGGUGAGCAAGUGAUGCAAUGCUACAUUUCUACAAAUAUGUUCCAGUGAAGAAACAAACUCAUCUAAGUCUUGGAUGGCCUGAGGUUGAGUUCAUUUCCAGAAAAUGUUCAUUUUGAAGGGAACUAUUCCUUUAUUUCAGCUUUGCAUCACAGGAAUAAAUUACAUUUUAAAAUAUAUUCAAAUAUACAAUAGUUAUUUAAAAUUGUAAUAAUAUUUCACAUAAUUACUGUAUUUGCAAUCAAAUAAAACAUUCAAAAACCUAAAAAAACGUAUAUAUAUAUAUAUAUAUGUGUGUAUGUAUAUAUGUGUGUGUGUGUGUGUGUGUGUGUGUGUGUGUGUGUGUGUGUGUGUGUGUGUAUUCUUUCUAUAUAAUUUU